CUGCUGUCCUGAGAGUUACUGUGAAAUCUUUCUGUUCACUGAAUCUUCUGAAUCCCUAGAGGAGAGCAUCAUUACCUAACAGUUAAAUACAAAAGGUGUAGGACCCAAGGAAUCCAGCUGAGGGCCUGUAUCCCAUGGCAAUGUCCUACUUGAGUCCAGCUGAAGACGUAGAGCC
rnacentral:lncRNA from 1 species